UGCCAGCAGCCGCGGUAACACGGGGGGCGCAAGCGUUAUUCGGAAUUAUUGGGCGUAAAGGGAGCGUAGGCGGUUUUGCAAGUCAGAAGUGAAAGGCUACGGCUCAACCGUAGUAAGCUUUUGAAACUGCAAGACUAGAGUGCAGGAGAGGCAAGUGGAAUUCCUAGUGUAGAGGUGAAAUUCGUAGAUAUUAGGAGGAACACCAGUGGCGAAGGCGGCUUUCUGGACCAAUACUGACGCUGAGAUGCGAAAGCGUGGGGAGCGAACAGGAUUAGAUA
rnacentral:rRNA from 1 species